rnacentral:tRNA from 1 species
GCGAGCGUGGCGGAACUGGCAGACGCGUACGUUUGAGGGGCGUAUGGGAGACCGUGUGGGUUCAAGUCCCACCGUUCGCACCA